UGUCAUUUAGGGUCAUCUUAUUUGGGUAAGAGAUUAUUCAGUUCCACUGCUUCCUUCGUCUACCACUCAUCUUUUGAGCUUUUUACAGCCAAAGACUUUUACUCAAAAAUGGGCCUGAAGAGGAAGACACCAGUCGCUUC
ensembl:misc_RNA